AGGACAAAUAGUGGCAUAAUACCAAAGCGCAGUAUUGUGGGAUGUGGCUCCGGAAAGAAUGAAAACUAGAAAAGUUUGUCUUUGCACCGGUUACCAAGAAGUGAAAAUAGAAAAGGAGAAUGGUUAGAAGCAAUUGAAACUGAAAAUAUCAAGCCAAAUGUAAAGGAUAUAAUAUCAUAGUAUGUUCCCUACAUUUCCCCGAAAGUGCUUUCAAUAGAACAAUGGAUGUGAUUAGUCUGCACGAUGAUGCUAUACCAGUAUGUCUGCCGCUGCAUUCACACAGGGUACCAGUUGAGCCUCAAAUCCCGUACUCAAAAAUGAACAGAGUGUAUUCGAGUGCAUUCCAG